rnacentral:rRNA from 1 species
AACGCGAAGAACCUUACCUACCCUUGACAUGUCAGGAACUUGCCAGAGACGCGAUUGUGCUCGAAAGAGAACCGUAACACAGGUGCUGCAUGGCUGUCGUCAGCUCGUGUCGUGAGAUGUUGGGUUAAGACCCGCAACGAGCGCAACCCUUGCCAUUAGUUGCUACGAAAGGGCACUCUAAUGGGACUGCCGGUGACAAACCGGAGGAAGGUGGGGAUGACGUCAAGUCCUCAUGGCCCUUAUAGGUGGGGCUACACACGUCAUACAAUGGCUGGUACAAAGGGUUGCCAACCCGCGAGGGGGAGCUAAUCCCAUAAAGCCAGUCGUAGUCCGGAUCGUAGUCUGCAACUCGACUACGUGAAGUCGGAAUCGCUAGUAAUCGUGGAUCAGAAUGUCACGGUGAAUACGUUCCCGGGCCUUGUACACACCG